ACGGGAGGCAGCAGUGGGGAAUAUUGCACAAUGGGGGAAACCCUGAUGCAGCGACGCCGCGUGAGCGAAGAAGUAUUUCGGUAUGUAAAGCUCUAUCAGCAGGGAAGAUAAUGACGGUACCUGACUAAGAAGCUCCGGCUAAAUACGUGCCAGCAGCCGCGGUAAUACGUAUGGAGCAAGCGUUAUCCGGAUUUACUGGGUGUAAAGGGAGCGUAGGCGGUCUUGCAAGUCUGAUGUGAAAACCCGGGGCUCAACCCCGGGACUGCAUUGGAAACUGUAGGACUAGAGUGUCGGAGGGGUAAGCGGAAUUCCUAGUGUAGCGGUGAAAUGCGUAGAUAUUAGGAGGAACACCGGUGGCGAAGGCGGCUUACUGGACGACAACUGACGCUGAGGCUCGAAAGCGUGGGGAGCAAACAGGAUUAGAUACCCUGGUA
rnacentral:rRNA from 2 species